AAGUCGUAACAAGGUUUCCGUAGGUGAACCUGCGGAAGGAUCAUUACUGAAAGAUCAUAGAGUCUGAGACUACGCUCAAAUGAAGCGUGUGCUCGAUUCUUACUCUUUAUUAUUCUACACACCUUUGUGCACUAUGGAGGACCGUGAAAAAAAGGUCCUCCCCUUCACAUAAAAACCAGGUUAAUAAUGCAUGGCUUUAAUAAUGCUCUACGGAGUAAUUAAAAAAAACAACUUUCAACAACGGAUCUCUUGGCUUUC
rnacentral:misc_RNA from 1 species